rnacentral:ribozyme from 1 species
GAGGGCAACGAGAGGAGGCUGACCGGGGCCCACGAGACCGCUUCCAUCGACGCGUUCUCCUGGGGAGUGGCCAACAGAGGUGCAAGCGUCAGGGUCGGCAGGGACA